rfam:Canis lupus familiaris chromosome 21, whole genome shotgun sequence.
AGGUCAUUUCAAAGAGGGCUUGUGGGACUAAAACCAAGAGCUCUUAACGCUGUGACCAAAUAUUGGAGUUCUCCAUAGGAUGUAAUAGUUACUCAAUAGUGCUAUGUUUUUUCCUGAGGAGAUACAGGA